rnacentral:lncRNA from 1 species
CCGGCCUUUGCUGCCCUGCGCCCGGGUGCAGACCCUUUCCCUAAGCAGUGGCAAGACUUGCAAGUGGCCCAGUGGAGGCAUUAGGCCGGAAAAAGAGGCUUCGGGAGGAGUGACGUAGGUGGGAGGUGGGCAUGCAACUUGCUUCUCAGAUUCAUGACACUUAGCCCCAAGUUGGCAGACACGUCCAUGAGCCCACGGAGCUUUUGGUUUCCCACAAGCCGCAUUCUCAGUAUUUCAAAAUAAUCUGAUGGCAAGAAAACUUCAACUCCUGUAGGUCAAAGAGGGACACAUUUAACACCACCGCCUCGCAGUAGCGAGACAGAGAACAAACCCUGGCGAUCCUCAACUGCAGAGCCCAACCCCAUGUCCGCAUCUCUCCGAGGCCAGCGGGGACAGACUGGGUCCGCUCUGCAGAGAACCCCCCCCCCCUGCGGGAGGGGCAAGACAGCGCGCAGAGGAGCAGAUUACUGUGGGACCGCACAAACGCAAGCCCAUCCGAGGAGGAGUUGUGCCAGGAACACUACCGCCUGCAUUGCGUCGGACCUGCCCAUUUCCAAUGUGAAACUCCCGGGGAAGGUCGCGGCGGAGGACCGUGUGUGUGCGGGGCUGUGGACCACAGGGGAAGGAGAACUGGUGGUCGGCUUUUCUGGCAGGAGAAGAAAAAAGCUGUGCUGGCAAGGCCUCCGGAACUCCCCGCACCCAAAAAAGAGCGGCGUCUCCAGGUUGCUGGCCGCGGGUGAGAAUGGGAGUAGGGAAUGGACAUUUUCGCCGUACCUGCCCAAUAAAGCGACUGGUCAGCUGAAGGAACCCAGGACGAGGAGCAAGGGCGGCGCGUUGGCCCCGGCGCCCCUCGGAUGCUGCGGCGGCCGCAGCUCGCGCCCGGGUACCGCAAAGGCGACCUGCCGCAUUCCCACUCGGGCUCUCCGCCGACUCUGCACCGCUCCUGCGCCAAGCCGGCCGGCCAGCAUCCAUCGAUUGCCCUGGUGGGAGCUUAGAAGGCGGCAGGCGAAGAGGGCUAGGAGGGGGGAGAGCCGAGGAGAAGCAGAGGGGGUGGCAGGCGAGGGGAUCUGCUGAGCUGGCUCUGCACCGGGUCCCAGGAGGGCUCGCGGAGGGGAGGGGAGGCCAGGGUGACCUGUCAGCGAUGGCCCGGUCCGCUAGAACGGCUUUGCCUUAAGGCACUCGGAGCAGGACGAAACUCCCCCCCGCCUCCACCGCCCACCCACCCCGGCGGAAAGCUGCUUCCCGGGCGUCAGGCAAGGGGGAUUUCAAACGGAGGAACAGACAGGGUGGAGGGGACCAGCUCGAGGAGCGGAGUGGCGGAUCUCUCCACCUGCUGGCUCGGAAGCCCCGCCCCCUGAGCGCAGGGGAGCCGCGCACACCGGUGGGGGGGGCGCGCGGGUCCCCCCCACCCCGCCUCCCCCGCCCCCCCCCCCCCCCCCCCCCGCCCCCCCCCCCCCCCCGCCCCCCCCCGCCCCAGGCCCGCCCCGGGUCUCCCGCCGCCGCCGCCGCCGCUGCCGCCGCCCCCGGCUUCCACC